AUGGGAUUCUGCUGUGGGCCUUCCGAUGUCAAGGUGCUCCCAAAUAACACCUCCUCAUUGUCGUCAACGUCUUCCUCAUCGUCAUCACCCGCUAAAGAUUCUGCCGACGGUGGCAAGAAGAAGCAACAGCAAGGUGUGAAGAAGGAGCGGGGGAGGGAGAAGAAGAAGAGCAACCUUGACCGUGCCGCCAUGGCUACGCCCCGCCUCCCCUUCCAUUCUCGGCCCGGUCUCAUGUAA
rnacentral:rRNA from 1 species